rnacentral:rRNA from 1 species
GAUGAACGCUGGCGGCGUGCCUAAUACAUGCCAGUCGAGCGAACAGACGAGGAGCUUGCUCCUCUGACGUUAGCGGCGGACGGGUGAGUAACACGUGGAUAACCUACCUAUAAGACUGGGAUAACUUCGGGAAACCGGAGCUAAUACCGGAUAAUAUAUUGAACCGCAUGGUUCAAUAGUGAAAGACGGUUUUGCUGUCACUUAUAGAUGGAUCCGCGCCGCAUUAGCUAGUUGGUAAGGUAACGGCUUACCAAGGCAACGAUGCGUAGCCGACCUGAGAGGGUGAUCGGCCACACUGGAACUGAGGCACGGUCCAGACUCCUACGGGAGGCAGCAGUAGGGAAUCUUCCGCAAUGGGCGAAAGCCUGACGGAGCAACGCCGCGUGAGUGAUGAAGGUCUUCGGAUCGUAAAACUCUGUUAUUAGGGAAGAACAAAUGUGUAAGUAACUAUGCACGUCUUGACGGUACCUAAUCAGAAAGCCACGGCUAACUACGUG